UCCUGAUAUUUUCUCGCAGUGCAUUAUCCCCUUCCACGCGCAGGCUUCUUCCCCAAACCAUCGUCGUUCUCAGCGCCGUGUGCCCAACUCCAACUCGGCCCCUCCCAUGGCGCCCGGCUGCUCUCCUCUGUCUUGCGCUCAGCUUCCGGGCGGAUCUCCUGGCCGUGUGCCCCAGCGCCGGUCGCUCCUCCCUGCUUGCCCUCUAGCCCGCCCUAGCUGCCGCGCCCUGCUCUCUGUUUGCUGCUCGCCGGAGCUCCAGCCAUGGCGCGCCCCUCUCCCUGAUCCCUUCUCUACGCGCUCCACCAAGCCGGCGUCCUAUGCUCGCCAUGGCCGCUGAGCCCGACCCAGCCGUGUGCUCGCCCGGCCGUAAGCUCGCUCUGCUCGCCCGGGCACUCAUCUCCAUCCAUGGAUAUCGCCAUCUCAGCGCCCUUGCUCUGCUUGAGGAAAUGCCAAGCCUUAAACAGCCAUCGUCUUGCUGCGACGCGUGCGUGCGCCACUCGCCCCACGCCGUUGUCUUUGUGUUUAGGCAGCCCCGUCGCGACAUCGUCAAACCUUGCCCCUUGUCGUCAUGUUCUCCCUGCUGCAGCACCAUCGAUUUGUACUUGUGUGGAAUCACAGUAGUGCAUAUGGAUGUCAAAGGAAGUGAAAGCUCCAUGUGAUGUUAGCCAAGUACUUGACGUAAAGCCUGAACCAGGGUCUCAUUGUUCUUGUGAAGUUCAAGCCGAAUAUAUAGUUUUGGAGGGAGAUUUGGUGCUGAAGCCGAAGCCAGCAGCCUCUUAUUUUUCGUCGUCGAUCCAAGCCGCUUCCUCGACGUGUCCGUUGAUCCCAACGAUCUAUCUUCCAAUUGCGUGCCACUUGCGUUGAGCUCCAAAGCCUCCUAUCGUGCUCGACCCUGGAGGCCUCCAACUUGUCGACAUCCCUUGCAUCGUCAAAAAAUCCCAAGAGUUUGGAUAAAGCAACAGAUCCCACGUGGUGCUUGCCGGGUGCUCGGCAAAAGGUCUGAGCAAGAAUCAUUGCUGUCUACGCGAAGUUAUGGUCAAUAUGGUACAUUUAUUGAUUACGUGAUACGGAGGACCAAAGCUGAGUCGACCACAAGAUGUCGCUACGCGUAAGCUUCUCCACAAGAUGAUGCUGAUGGACGAACCUGAAGAUGGAUAAUCUAAACAAGUGUCAAAACAAAGGCUGAUCGUCAAGUGGACGUCGUCUAACAAACACUAACCUAGUGUUAUUCCAGGCAAGCCCCGGUGCAUUUGCCACCUCCUUGCUGUUUUAAAAUCUUUUAUCACCUUGUUUGAUGCAUUAGGUGAUACGAUUUGUGUGCUAAACAAUUGAUGCAUUUCCUUCCUUGGAAAAUUGAAUACCCUUCCUUGGUACCCUUUUAUGA